UGAAGAACGCAGCGAAAUGCGAUAAGUAAUGUGAAUUGCAGAAUUCAGUGAAUCAUCGAGUCUUUGAACGCACAUUGCGCCCCCUGGUAUUCCGGGGGGCAUGCCUGUCCGAGCGUCAUUGCUGCCCUCAAGCACGGCUUGUGUGUUGGGCCCCGCCCCCCGGCUCCCGGGGGGCGGGCCCGAAAGGCAGCGGCGGCACCGCGUCCGGUCCUCGAGCGUAUGGGGCUUCGUCACCCGCUCCGUAGGCCCGGCCGGCGCCCGCCGGCGACCCCCCUCAAUCUUUUCAGGUUGACCUCGGAUCAGGUAGGGAUACCCGCUGAACUUAAGCAUAUCAAUAAGCGGAGGA
rnacentral:misc_RNA from 1 species